UACGGGGGGGGCAAGCGUUGUUCGGAAUUACUGGGCGUAAAGGGCGCGUAGGCGGCCUGUUAAAUCGAACGUGAAAUCCCCGGGCUCAACCCGGGAACUGCGUCCGAUACUGGCAGGCUUGAAUCCGGGAGAGGGAUGUGGAAUUCCAGGUGUAGCGGUGAAAUGCGUAGAUAUCUGGAGGAACACCGGUGGCGAAGGCGGCAUCCUGGACCGGUAUUGACGCUGAGGCGCGAAAGCCAGGGGAGCAAACGGG
rnacentral:rRNA from 1 species